UACGGGGGGGGCAAGCGUUGUUCGGAAUUACUGGGCGUAAAGCGUGCGCAGGCGGUUUGGCAAGUCAGAUGUGAAAUCCCCGAGCUCAACUUGGGAACUGCGUUUGAAACUGCCAGACUAGAAUAUGUCAGAGGGGGGUAGAAUUCCACGUGUAGCAGUGAAAUGCGUAGAGAUGUGGAGGAAUACCAAUGGCGAAGGCAGCCCCCUGGGAUAAUAUUGACGCUCAUGCACGAAAGCGUGGGGAGCAAACAGG
rnacentral:rRNA from 1 species